rnacentral:rRNA from 1 species
UACGAACCACACAAACGUUAUUCGGAAUCACUGGGCUUAAAGGGUGCGUAGGCUGCGCAGUAAGUUGGGUGUGAAAUCCCUCGGCUCAACCGAGGAACUGCGCCCAAAACUACUGUGCUCGAGGGAGAUAGAGGUGAGCGGAACUUAGGGUGGAGCGGUGAAAUGCGUUGAUAUCCUAAGGAACACCCGUGGCGAAAGCGGCUCACUGGAUCUCUUCUGACGCUGAGGCACGAAAGCUAGGGUAGCGAACGGG